UAACAUAUCCAUAAUCCAUAU
rnacentral:piRNA from 1 species